GCAUAUCAAUAAGCGGAGGAAAAGAAACCAACAGGGAUUGCCCUAGUAACGGCGAGUGAAGCGGCAACAGCUCAAAUUUGAAAUCUGGCGCAAGCCCGAGUUGUAAUUUGUAGAGGAUGCUUCUAGGUAGCGACCGGUCUAAGUUCCUUGGAACAGGACGUCAUAGAGGGUGAGAAUCCCGUAUGUGACCGGCCCGCACCUUCUACGUAGCUCCUUCGACGAGUCGAGUUGUUUGGGAAUGCAGCUCUAAAUGGGAGGUAAAUUUCUUCUAAAGCUAAAUACCGGCCAGAGACCGAUAGCGCACAAGUAGAGUGAUCGAAAGAUGAAAAGCACUUUGGAAAGAGAGUUAAAAAGCACGUGAAAUUGUUGAAAGGGAAGCGCUCACAACCAGACUUCUGGGCGGUGUUCCGCCGGUCUUCUGACCGGUCUACUCACCGUCCCGAGGCCAACAUCAUCUGGGACCGCUGGAUAAGACCUCAGGAAUGUAGCUCCCCCUCGGGGGAGUGUUAUAGCCUGUGGUGAUGCAGCGCGUCUCGGGUGAGGUCCGCGCUUCGGCAAGGAUGUUGGCGUAAUGGUUGUCAGCGGCCCGUCUUGAAACACGGACCAAGGAGUCUAACAUCUAUGCGAGUGUUCGGGUGUCAAACCCCUACGCGUAAUGAAAGUGAACGGAGGUGGGAAGCGUAAGCUGCACCAUCGACCGAUCCUGAUGUCCUCGGAUGGAUUUGAGUAAGAGCAUAGCUGUUGGGACCCGAAAGAUGGUGAACUAUGCCUGAAUAGGGUGAAGCCAGAGGAAACUCUGGUGGAGGCUCGCAGCGGUUCUGACGUGCAAAUCGAUCGUCAAAUUUGGGUAUAGGGGCGAAAGACUAAUCGAACCAUCUAGUAGCUGGUUCCUGCCGAAGU
rnacentral:rRNA from 1 species